AUGCCAUCAUGCUCAACACCAUUGUUGUACCUCUGCCUACUGCUGGUGCCGUGCCUUCUUCUCUUGGAAGAAGCACAUGCGGUGCACCAUGGAGGGAUCUCUCUGAGGUCUCAACACAUGGCCCUCCUCCACUGGAAAGCUACACUUGCGAGCCCACCACUGCAGAUGAGCUCUUGGCAAGAAAACACAAGGCCCUGCAACUGGUCGGGCAUCAUGUGCACGGCUAUCCGCCAUGGCCGCCGCAUGCCCUGGGUGGUAACCAACAUAUCCCUGCCGGGUGCUGGCAUCCGUGGCCAGCUUGGUGAGCUCAACUUCUCGGCUCUUCCAUUCCUCGCAUAUAUUGACCUUCAAAACAACAGUCUCCACGGUGUACUGCCCGCUAGUAUCAGCUCUCUAUCAUCACUAUCUUAUCUUGACCUUAGCUUCAACCAUCUCAAAGGGCAAAUUCCGUUUGAGUUUGGUAACCUGCAGAGUCUCAUGCAGCUUGGUCUCUCAUCUAACAAACUCACAGGACAUAUCCCUGCGUCUCUUGGUAACCUAACAAUGUUAAAUUAUCUUGUCAUUCACCAGAACAUGGUAUCAGGUCCCAUUCCUAAGGAGAUUGGAAACCUUGUCAACCUACAAGGCCUACAGCUAAGCAACAACCCCUUAACCGGCAUGAUACCAAAAACCCUUGGAAAUCUGACCCAACUAAAUGAUUUGUACCUGUAUGGUAAUCAACUUUCAGGGCCUAUACCCCAAGAGCUAGGCAGACUGGUCCAUUUGCAAAGUCUUCAGCUUCAGUCAAAUGAUAUUUCAGGUCCAAUUCCAAUCUCCAUAACCAAUCUCACUAAGAUGAACACACUUUUUCUCUUUGAAAAUCAAAUCACAGGCCCAAUACCUUUUGAAUUGGGCUAUUUGCUGAACCUCCAAAAUUUUGGGUUGUCCAACAACCAAAUAUCUGGCACUAUUCCUGAUAGCAUAGGAAAUAAUACCAAGCUAGUAGUACUAUCCCUAGAUCAAAAUCAGAUAACCGGCUCCAUCCCUAAAGGGAUUGGCAAUCUGCUGAACCUCAAAUAUUUAAACUUGUACCAGAACCAAAUUUCGGGAUCAAUACCUAAAACUUUUGGGAAGCUGCAAAGCAUCCAAGAACUGUACAUCAACCAUAACAAAUUAUCAGGUUCUCUUCCUCAAGAAUUCGGAGACCUCAUAAACCUUGUUGCACUUGGGCUGGCUAACAACUCACUUUCAGGACCUUUACCUACAAAUAUAUGUUCAGGGGGCAGGCUUCAAUAUCUAUAUCUCUUUUCUAAUAUGUUCAAUGGCCCCAUUCCAAGGAGUUUAAAGACAUGUACGAGUUUGGUUGAAAUUAGCCUUCAGAGGAACCAACUCACAGGAGAUAUAUCUCAGCACUUUGGUGUGUAUCCACAACUCAAAAGGAUGAGCUUUGCAUCAAAUAGAUUCUAUGGGCAGGUCCCACCAAAUCUAGAUGCAUGUACCAAACUAACGAUACUACGUCUAGCACAAAAUAUGAUCACGGGUUCCAUACCUCCAAUCCUUUCUAAAUUGUUGAACCUAGAAGAACUAAGUCUCAAUUCUAAUCGCCUCAGCGGUGAGAUUCCACAAGAAAUCUGUAGUUUUGCAAAUUUAUACAGACUGAACUUAUCAUCUAACCAAUUAUCUGGAUCCAUACCUACACACAUAGAAAAGCUACGCAAUCUAGCAUACCUUGAUAUAUCUGGAAACAGACUGAGCGGAUCAGUACCUGAGGACCUAGGAGGCUGCAUGAAACUACUUUCCUUGAAGAUCAACAACAACAGCUUCAAUGGGAGUUUGCCUGAUGUGAUUGGAAAUUUAGCAAGUCUGCAGAUCAUGUUAGAUGUAAGCAACAAUAACCUCAGUGGCGCAUUGCCGCAGCAACUUGGGAAGUUGGGGAUGCUAGAAUUUUGGAAUUUAUCCCAUAAUCAGUUCAGCAGCAUCAUUUUGUCCUCUUUUGCAAGCAUGGUGAGCCUUUCAACACUCGAUGUGUCCUACAACGACUUGGAAGGACCAAUCCCAACAACACGGCUACUCCAAAAUGUUUCAGCAAGUUGGUUUCUUCACAAUAACGGUUUGUGUGGUAACCUAUCUGGCCUGCCAACAUGUUACUCAACUCCAGUAGCUGGUCACCAUAAACGAAAGAUAAUUGGUUUGCUUUUGCCAAUUGUUCUUGUGGUGCUUUUUGGAAUUGUUGCUGCAGUUGUUGUCAUAAUAACGCUUAGUUGUAACAAGAGAAAACCACAAGAAAGUGUUACUGCUGAAGGAAGGGACCUAUUCUCUGUUUGGAAUUUUGAUGGAAGAUUAGCAUUUGAUGACAUUGUAAGGGCAGCAGAAGACUUCGACGAUAAGUACAUCAUUGGAACAGGGGGAUACGGCAAAGUCUACAAGGCACAACUCCAAGACGGGCAGCUGGUUGCUGUUAAGAAGCUUCAUCAGACCGAAGAAGAGUUGGAUGAUGAAAGAAGAUUCCGUAGUGAAAUGGAAAUCUUAACGCAGAUCCGACAACGAAGCAUUGUCAAAAUGUAUGGAUUUUGCUCCCAUCCAGCAUAUAAAUUUCUCAUCUACGACUACAUUCAGCAGGGAAGCCUCCAUGGAAUAUUGGAAAAUGAGGAGCUAUCAAAGCAAUUAGAUUGGCAGAAGAGAAUUGCCCUGACAACUGAUGUGGCUCAAGCAAUAUCUUAUUUGCACCACGAAUGCAGUCCACCUAUAAUCCAUCGAGAUAUCACAAGCAACAACAUCUUACUUGAUACAUCCUUCAAGGCCUUUGUCUCGGAUUUCGGCACGACAAGGAUUCUUAAGCCCGAUUCAUCAAACUGGAGUGCACUAGCAGGAACGUAUGGCUACAUAGCUCCUGGUAUGUACUAG
rnacentral:rRNA from 1 species